UUUAUAAAUCAAAAUGUGUUUAUAAAUAUCUUAAAUGUAUUGCAAUUGAGUUUGAUCACUGAAUCCUCUUUAAAAUUCAGGCCAGUAUUUUAUAUUACCCAGUAUUGCCCAGUAUUACCCAUUAAAACCCAGUAAAACCCGGGUUUUCCCAGUAUUUCCCACUGGGCUGGGCAAUACUCAUAAAACCCGGGUUUUUGCCAAUCCUGCCU
rnacentral:lncRNA from 1 species